rnacentral:lncRNA from 1 species
UGCGCGCACUCAGGGAAUAGAAUUGAGUACAUACUCUGGGAAAAUGGGCCACUGUUGGAACUGCCAUUUUAGAAGUCAUCCACAUAGAUAUAAGAGCAGAAGCCAGAAGAAAGUAUAAUACAGGGGAAAUCAUCAAGAGAGAGGAGGACAGGGCUAAGGAGAGCUCCUUAGAGAUACAUUUGGAGAAAAGAAUCAGGAAGAAAUAAAGAAAAG